GAUGAACGCUGGCGGCGUGCCUAAUACAUGCAAGUCGAGCGAACAGAUAAGGAGCUUGCUCCCUUGACGUUAGCGGCGGACGGGUGAGUAACACGUGGGUAACCUACCUAUAAGACUGGAAUAACUCCGGGAAACCGGGGCUAAUGCCGGAUAACAUUUAGAACCGCAUGGUUCUAAAGUGAAAGAUGGUUUUGCUAUCACUUAUAGAUGGACCCGCGCCGUAUUAGCUAGUUGGUAAGGUAACGGCUUACCAAGGCAACGAUACGUAGCCGACCUGAGAGGGUGAUCGGCCGCACUGGAACUGAGACACGGUCCAGACUCCUACGGGAGGCAGCAGUAGGGAAUCUUCCGCAAUGGGCGAAAGCCUGACGGAGCAACGCCGCGUGAGUGAUGAAGGUCUUCGGAUCGUAAAACUCUGUUAUUAGGGAAGAACAAAUGUGUAAGUAACUAUGCACGUCUUGACGGUACCUAAUCAGAAAGCCACGGCUAACUACGUG
rnacentral:rRNA from 1 species